UUUAACAGUAAUUCCAAUUGAAGUAGAUCCUGAAUAUUAAAUGAAACUUAGCAUCACUACUAAUCCAUUUCAGGAAUCGUAAUAUAACAUGAAAAUAUAUCCCAUUAGAAAACACCAAGCCACACAUAAUUCAUCUUGUAGAAUUAUUCACAAUUAGAUGGGCUAUCCAAAAAAAUUCAUUUCACAAACACUUUAAUUCCAUAUCAGGAAUCAGAAACUUAAAAUACAUCCCACAUUAAAAACACCAUGAAGCAAACAUAUAUCUACUUUUUUUAUAAACUAAAUUCACUGAUUGACAUUUUCAUCUUGACUAUUUAGAGGCACAAAAAGAAAUGGCUUAAAAUGUCCCAUAUCUAAAUAGAAUAGUCUAUUCAGGACAUUGGUCAUGAUACAUGAGGAAAGCAAGCUAGCUAUCAGUCAUUUAAAUUUUACCUUUAAGGAAUAGUGAAGAUUUUUUACUGGUUAGUUAAAUGACCACCUGUUGAUGAGUUCUCACAAUACCUAUUGUACAAUUUAAAUGGACAAAUUGUGUUGACAAUUUUUUUAUACUCAUAAUACUGGUCAAGCAAUAGGUAUUUAAAUACCACAAAGGUGAUUGGAUAAUGACAGUAA
rnacentral:lncRNA from 1 species